UACAGAGGGGGGCAAGCGUUGUUCGGAAUUACUGGGCGUAAAGGGCGCGUAGGCGGCCUUCUAAGUCGAACGUGAAAUCCCCGGGCUCAACCCGGGAACUGCGUCCGAUACUGGAAGGCUUGAAUCCGGGAGAGGGAUGCGGAAUUCCAGGUGUAGCGGUGAAAUGCGUAGAUAAUCUGGAGGAACACCGGUGGCGAAGGCGGCGAAUCCCUGGGAGCCCGGGCAAGUUCGGACGCUGAGGCGCGAA
rnacentral:rRNA from 1 species